ensembl:lncRNA
CCCGGAGGCACAGCUGGAGCUGCAGUGGUCCACGCACAGCAGAGGACUGUUACAGCUGCUGCUGCCCCUGCUGAAGUGGUGGCUAUGGCGACGGGUCAGGGUGUUCGAGCUGUAACCCCAGUGACUGCGUCUGCUGUGGUUUCUACUACUCUGAGCCCGGUGCAGUCACAGACCCGCCCACUGGUCCCUCAGGUCACUGCAGGUGCACAUCCUUAACGCUUCCCCAACACCUUUUUGUUUGUUUUUCCUUUACAUCGGACUCAUUUGGGUUUGUGCUUCUAGCCACAGGUAUGCCUCUGACACCAAAGUCUCUCACCCCGGCCCACCUGCAGAUACUCCGACAGCAGCAGCAGCUGCAGCAGCAGCAGGCCACGUCCUCUCAGAUCAAAGCUGUUGGCAAAACUCAGGUAAAUUAUAAACAAAACCCACGCCUUACAGCAUGUAAUCUGACAUGAAAAUUCUAAUCAAUAAACCGUUAAAUUAACCAGUUUGAAUUAUUUUUGCAGGAGUUGAUAAAAAUGCAGAAACAUAAGGUGCCGUUACAGCAUCAGCAGCAGUUGACUGCAGCCGUUGUCCCGGCCCAGGGACAACAAGUCCCGGUGACCCAGCAGACCGGCCAGGUGCAGCAUGCUCAGACCCGAGUUCCCCCCCAGGGACAGAUCCAGGCCCAGGCAGGACAGACAGCUCAGGUUACCCUGACUAAGCCUCCUGUCGUGUCCGUACCGACUGUGGUCUCUGGAGUGACCACGCUGCCAGGUAUUAGUGUGGCCAUCAGCCAGGCACAGAAGACAGGUGUGUUCAAAAUGGUCUUCCGCCUAAUGUGGAUCUUAUGUCUGUUAUGGAAGAGACAAACAUGAAGAGGUUGCGUCAUAGAUGGCAUAAUAAUAACAUUUAAAGGGUGAAAUAAGGACAUACUGUUAUGAUGGCUGUCCUAACGGUUUUCUGGUUGUCCUUCAGGUGCACCCAUGCAGACGCUGCCCUUCACCCAGAUGCAGGUCCCACAUCUGAUCACCAUGAAGAAACCCCAGCUGCAGGCAGCAUCUGCAGCUCCGCCGAAGGCAGGGCAGCCGCAACAGGGGCAGGCUGCUGUUCAGCAGAAGAUUGGCAGCCAGCAGGUAACCAUGCAGGCAGCCCAGUCGGCUCAGCAGCAGCAGCAGAAAGGGACCUAUACCACCACACCACACCAACAGGGGAUCAAGCCCCAGUUCUUCACUACAGCAUCCAUCUCCCAGGGCCAGAAAACCGCUGCUGCCCAACAAAUCCAGGUAGCACACCACUGACAGAAGCCAUUAUCGAAAACACCACCAUGCAUCUUUAUUCUGUGGAGUUGUGUGCUGGUGUGAGGUUUUCCUGUGUGCUGCUCCUCUCAGGUGGCUAAACUCCCACAGAUAGUGCCGCCAGCUGUGGCCAGUAUUCAGCAGAUUGUGUCUUCUCCUCAGCAGGUAAAAGCUUUGACAUGUCUGUUUCUCUGGUUCUGGAUCCUCCUCAGCAGCUCUUUGAGGAAGAACCAUGAAGCAGAUUAAAUCACAUCCACUUGGUUAAGCCUUUGGGCCCUAGGCCCCACACUUUAACUAGUAUAUUUCUGUAACCACAAAGUCUAUUUGAUUAGCCUGGCAAGCCAUCUUAUAAAUGUGAAUAUACAGUCCGGCCACGGUCCUUUGACGACUUUUAGUCGUGGGGCGGGAUCUACGGUUGUAUUUCAAUCUGUCCCCACAUGCUGUUGGAUAACAGACAACAUGACGUACUCACCGCUGCGAUGUCAGUCAAUGAUGCAGACCGCCACACCCCGUCAAAGAAGACACAAAUACAGGUCCUUCUCAAAAAUUAGCAUAUUGUGAUGAAGUUCAUUAUUUUCUGUAAUGUACUGAUAAACAUUAGACUUUCAUAGAUAUUAGAUUCAUUACACACAACUGAAGUAGUUCAAGCCUUUUAUUGUUUCAAAUAUUGAUGAUUUUUGCAUACAGCCAUCGACAUAUAAAUAUUGGACAAUGGGUUUCCAUAGACUCCAAUAACACGUUUUUGAGACCAAAUGGGAGGUGGCCACCACCGCCAUUUUGACCGUGUCACAGGUUCCGUCAAGCCCAGACAAUUCCACAAAAGGGAAGAGAGGAGGAGCUGAGGGUGGGGCUGUAAGGCUGGGAUCAACUGACGACACCCGGUCGAACUAGCUACAAGCUAAC